UACGGAGGGGGCUAGCGUUGUUCGGAAUUACUGGGCGUAAAGCGCGCGUAGGCGGACCUGCAAGUCGGGGGUGAAAGCCCGAGGCUCAACCUCGGAACUGCCUUCGAUACUGCGGGUCUCGAGUCCGGGAGAGGUGAGUGGAAUUCCUAGUGUAGAGGUGAAAUGCGCAGAUAUCAGGAGGAACACCGAUGGCGAAGGCAGCUCGCUGGGACGGUACUGGACGCUGAGACGCGAAAGCGUGGGGAGCAAACAGG
rnacentral:rRNA from 1 species